CUUAAAGCUGGAUUGGGUCUGGGAGCAUCCAGAGUAGCACGGGACACGUGAAACCCCGUGUGAAUGAGCGCCGACCACGGCGUAAGGCUAAAUACUCGGUGUCGACCGAUAGUGAACAAGUACCGUGAGGGAAAGGUGAAAAGAACCCCUGUUAGGGGAGUGAAAAAGUACCUGAAACCAAUUGCCUACAAUCAGUCGAAGCACCGCAAGGUGUGACGGCGUACCUUUUGUAUAAUGGGCCUAGGAGUUAUUGUUUGUGGCGAGCUUAAGUGUUUAAGGCACGUAGGCGUAGGGAAACCGAGUCUGAAUAGGGCGAGUAAAGUCGCAGGCAAUAGACCCGAAGCGGAGGUGAUCUAUCCAUGGCCAGGUUGAAGCUUUAGUAAAAUAAAGUGGAGGACCGAACCGGUCACUCUUGAGAAAGUGUCGGAUGAGCUGUGGAUCGGAGCGAAAGACUAAUCAAACCCCGCGAUAGCUGGUUCUUUCCGAAAUAUAUUUAGGUAUAGCCUCGUUGCGCUGAUGACUGGGGGUAGAGCACUGAAAAGGCAAGGGCCCAUACCCGGGUACCAACCCUUACCAAACUCCGAAUACCAGUCAAAGAAGCACGGGAGUCAGACUGUGGGGGAUAAGCUUCAUAGUCGAGAGGGAAACAGCCCAGACCACCAUUUAAGGCCCCUAAACAAUGCUAAGUGGAAAAGGAUGUGAAUUUACACAGACAAUAGGGAUGUUGGCUUAGAGGCAGCCACCAUUUAAACAGUGCGUAAUAGCUGACCUAUCGAGUGAAUUUGCGCCGAAGAUGAUCGGGACUAAGCAUUGUGCCGAAGAUGUGGGCUUGCAGAAAUGUGAGCGGUAGGAAAGCGUUCCUGAGCCAUUGAAGCCAAAGCCGACAAGGCAUGGUGGAGGGUCAGGAAGUGAAAAUCUAGGCUUGAGUAACGAUAAAACCGGUUAGAAUCCGGUUCGCCGUAAGGAUAAGGUUUCCCGGGCAAGGUUCGUCCGCCCGGGGUUAGUCGGGAGCUAAGGCGAGGCCGUAAGGAGUAGUCGAUGCAAAGCAGGUUAAUAUUCCUGCACCAAGUGAAGAGGACGAAGGGUGAAAGCGCACUAUCUUAUUGAAUUGGGACUCCGAGGCUACGGCCGAGGGGGUAUGCGUGGAAGCACUUCCAGGAAAAGCCUUCACAAUAAAGCCCGUACCGCAAACCGACACAGGUAUCCGGGAAGAAUAUUCUCAGGCGCGUGAGUUAAAUCUCCCUAAGGAACUCGGCAAAUUGGCCCUGUAUCUUCGGUAAAAAGGGUGCCCCGCGAGGGGCCGCAGUGAAAAAGGCCAACCGACUGUUUAGCAAAAACACAGCUCUCUGCAAACACGCAAGUGGACGUAUAGGGAGUGACACGUGACCAAUGCGGAAAGGUGAAAGCUGGCGGUGCAAGCCUCUGGUCUAAGCCUCCGUGAAUGUCGGCCGUAACUAUAACGGUCCUAAGGUAGCGAAAUUCCUUGUCGGGUAAGUUCCGACCUGCACGAAU
rnacentral:rRNA from 1 species